GGUGCUAUAGUCUAGGGGUAGGACGUGACAUUGUGGACUGUCAAAACCCGUGUUCGAAUCACGGUGGCGCCA